rnacentral:lncRNA from 1 species
CUGAUUCUUUGCAUCAGUGAUAACACGCAAGCCACAAGGGAGUUGCUGCACAAGCAGCCACUGGGAGCUUAUUUGAAAAAAUUAGCAGUGACAUGGCAACUGAAUGCUAAUUGUAGGUCCCUGAUGGAUUAAAGGCAGAAACUUGUAAUUGUUUCGCUGUAAUCUGUAAUUGUACAUGGAGAAAGAUUCAGACAUUUGUAAAUUCAAUGAUUCUUCUAAAUUGACACAAUCAUCAGUAGGUUAUGAUUUCUUUUCUUUUUCCUUCAUAUGGUCAAAUGUAAUGUCUUGAUCCUUCCACCUUUCCUCUUUUUCAAAAUGCAUAUAUGGAAGAAAAAGUUGAAAGAUAUAUCCCUGAGCAUCACGCAGCAGUUUUGUUCCUUCCUCACCUCUAUGCUUGCUACUUACUUUGUCUCAAGUUUGUCUUUGAAUAGCCUAUGAACUGAUGUUAUGAGGUCAGACAAGGUGGAAACCAUAUUCAUUUAUGAUUUAACUACAUCUGCGAGGCAGCUGUUCGAUUCCCUUCUGAAACGCAGGUGCUCUGUGAUCAACUUUGAUUUUCUUUUUCUUUGGUUGCAAUAUUGUUUCUUAUCCUCAUUCUUUUUUCUCAUUUACUAAUUUCAGGGUAUUGGUUCAGGUUGCAAUCAGUUUUGGAAGGAUGGUCAGAUAAUUGCUAUCUUAUUAGAUUCAUCCACUAUAGCUGUUCGAAACCCUCAGACAUUCCCUGUCUAGUUGGUGAGGUGCCGUUUUCCGUGGUGAUUUGAAGAAACCAUUUGAUCUUGCUUUGAUAUAUUCUGUAGUGACAAUGCAUCCUGCUUACUCCUGGUUAAUAUCUAGGAUGGGCUAAUAACAGACUUAAGAAUGCUUAUAUAAAUUCUUUCACGGAGUCUUGGGGGUAUAUUUUUGAAAAGUUUUCCAUGUUGAUAGCUUGUGGCUGUCUACUUUGUGAUUCAUAUCAUAUUGUUAGUUUCAAUUGCUAGUAGUACUAGUAGUUAUUUUCAAAGCUAUUACUAGUUUAAUACUAGCUAGUUGGCAGCCAUGGAUUGGUGGAGGUUCUCAUUCCUAUAUGGAUGAUUAGGUCUUAUGUAGAAUUUAAUGUUAUGUUUCUGGUGUUUCAGCCAUUCAUUGUUGAACUAGCAAUGGUUGCACCAUUACUUCAACUGUUGGGUUGCCUCUAUUCACCUCCACUUUUAUCAGAACCCCUCUUAUUUGGUGGUACAUUCUAAUUCAUAAUGAUAAGAGUUGUCCUGGGCAGUUGCCUUGUUAUGCAUUGUAUUCAUCAGGAUAGUCUCAAUCUUUUUCCUGACUCUGUCCCAUUUAGUCUUAUUACUUGCAUUAAUUGUUUGAACAAAAUAUAAAAUCUUACACUGAACAGGGAAGGAGGAUUAAUGUAUCAUUGCCGAAGAAAAUUCCAUGCACGAAGUACCUGUCAUAAGCAUCAUCUGAUCACGAAGCUUCUGGUGGAUCUGCAAGAGAGGACUAUAUACUGCUACAGAAGCACCUCGUGUAUCAGCUUGUUUGUAAGACACUAUGUUCCCUGUGUUUCUGAUCCUGUGUUUAGUUUUGACUAUAUGGUAAUUUGAAGUUCUUUCUCAUUGUCGCAGCAGCUGUGCCCAAGCUUUUCUUUUUCUUUUUACUUUACUGGUGGUCUUUCGAGGAGUGUGUCAUAGAAGCUUGAUCCAUGGCUUCUUGUUUGCAUCAACUACAGGAUGUCUUAUUUAACAAAUUAGUUGAUAAUUAAUGAAUAAUUUGAGAAGUACUGGUUUUCUAGUUUCAGUAUGAUCUUAAUACGUUGCUUGGCAAUUUCAUUUUCUUGGAAAUAUUAAUUCAAUACUUGUGAUUUAGUGAUUGACUGAUCAUUUCUUGGCAAAUCUUAUAGAUGUUGAACACAAGAAAAAAAUACGGAUGAAAGUGAACCCAAGUGAAUUCUGUUGACUUUUGACAAAACUUAGUUUUGACCAGAAGAUGAGUGCAGCAUCUGCAUUGGGU